rnacentral:rRNA from 1 species
CACGUAGGCACCAAGCGUUGUCCGGAUUUAUUGGGCGUAAAGAGCUCGUAGGCGGUUCAGUUAGUCGGGUGUGAAAACUCUGGGCUUAACCCAGAGCCGCCACCCGAUACUGCUGUGACUAGAGUUCGGUAGGGGAGUGGGGAAUUCCUGGUGUAGCGGUGAAAUGCGCAGAUAUCAGGAGGAACACCGGUGGCGAAGGCGCCACUCUGGGCCGAAACUGACGCUGAGGAGCGAAAGCGUGGGUAGCAAACAGG